rnacentral:rRNA from 1 species
AUUGAACGCUGGCGGCAGGUCUAACACAUGCAAGUCGAGCGAGCGGCGGACGGGUGAGGAAUGUCUGGGAAACUGCAGGAUGGAGGGGGAUACCUACUGGAAACGGUAGCUAAUACCGCAUACCAUCAGAUGUGCCCAGAUGGGAUUAGCUAGUAGGUGGGGUAAGGGCUCACCUAGGCGAAGAUCCCUAGCUGGUCUGAGCGGAUGACCAGUCACACUGGAACUGAGACACGGUCCAGACUCCUACGGGAGGCAGCAGUGGGGAAGAUUGCUCAAUUGGCGCAAGCCUGAUACAGCCAUGCCGCGUGUAUGAAGAAGGCCUUCGGGUUGUAAAGUACUUUCAGCGGGGAUGCGUUACCCGCAGAAGAAGCACCGGCUAACUCCGUGCCAGCAGCCGCGGUAAUAC